rnacentral:rRNA from 1 species
UACGUAGGGUGCAAGCGUUAAUCGGAAUUACUGGGCGUAAAGCGUGCGCAGGCGGUUCGCUAAGACAGAUGUGAAAUCCCCGGGCUUAACCUGGGAACUGCAUUUGUGACUGGCGGGCUAGAGUAUGGCAGAGGGGGGUAGAAUUCCACGUGUAGCAGUGAAAUGCGUAGAUAUGUGGAGGAACACCGAUGGCGAAGGCAGCCCCCUGGGUCAAGAUUGACGCUCAUGCACGAAAGCGUGGGGAGCAAACAGG